rnacentral:rRNA from 1 species
AGAUUGAACGCUGGCGGCAGGCCUAACACAUGCAAGUCGAGCGGUAGAGAGGUGCUUGCACCUCUUGAGAGCGGCGGACGGGUGAGUAAUGCCUAGGAAUCUGCCUAGUGGUGGGGGAUAACGUUCGGAAACGGACGCUAAUACCGCAUACGUCCUACGGGAGAAAGUGGGGGACCUUCGGGCCUCGCGCCAUUAGAUGAGCCUAGGUCGGAUUAGCUAGUUGGUGAGGUAAUGGCUCACCAAGGCGACGAUCCGUAACUGG